rnacentral:rRNA from 1 species
AACGAACGCUGGCGGCGUGCCUGAGACAUGCAAGUCGUGGGAGAAAGUCGGAGCAAUCCGGCUAGUAAACCGGCGCACGGGUGAGUAACACGUGGACAACCUGCCUUGGAGUUCGGGAUAACCCGUCGAAAGACGGACUAAUACCGGAUAUGACCACGGGGAGUUCGCUCUCUGAGGUAAAAGAUGGCCUCUGCUCCUGCAAGCUAUCUCUUCGAGAGGGGUCCGCGUCCUACAGCUAGUUGGUGAGGU